AUGGAGUACAAGGUGAAGAGCAAUGGCAGCAAGCACCGGGAAGGAUCCGGAUCAGGAGGGCUCAGCAGGAUGCUGCGGGAGCACAAGGCGAGGCUCUACAUCAUCCGCCGAUGCGUCGUCAUGCUCCUCUGCUCUUGA
rnacentral:rRNA from 1 species